ensembl:lncRNA
CACACAUCAAUUCUGCAGAAGGGGUUAGAGGUCCGCUAAUACCAUCCUUGCUGAAAACAGCUGUAACUUGAAGAACAGCAACAGCUGGAGGUCAAGCAGCUAUCAUCCCUGAAAUAGUUGCCUUCUCACUGGUAUUGAAACUACUACUUGUCAUCAGCUAGAUCACUUCAAAACACUCCCUGUACUAUGAAGAAGAUGGGAAAGGAGAUUUCUUCAGCUGCAAGAAGAGGAAACAGUAUCCUGGGCUGCAUUCAACAUAACUUUGCCAGGAGGUUGAUGAAGGUCAACCUCUACUCAGCACUGUUCCUGUAUUUCAGAAACCCUAAAAGGAUUUGGGAGAACCUCUGUAUGCUAUAUACACACACAGUAUUUUAUUCUGUGUGUUACAUGGUGAAGUUGUUGAAAUAAGAAGGCUAAUAUCACACAGCUAUGGAAAGAUGGGUGGGAAUCCUAAUUCUUAAUUUGGAGGUAAAGAAGAAUGGGACUUGGAUAGAAACACCCUGCUUGGUUGUUCACUGCAAGCAAGUCAAAGACAGAAUACAUCUGCAGAAGUGGUUGCAUAUGGAUAAACAAAAUGCAUAGCCUUACCCUCUGUGUGAUUUUCUCUGACCUCAGCCAAGCAACAGUGC